UGCCAGCCUCCUCGGUAACACGGGGGGCGCAGGCGUUAUUCGGAAUUAUUGGGCGUAAAGGGCGCGCAGGCGGUCUUGUCCGUCAGGUGUGAAAGCUCGGGGCUCAACCCCGGAAGUGCACUUGAUACUGAACUGCUUGAGACCGGAAGAGGGUAGUGGAAUUCCCAGUGUAGAGGUGAAAUUCGUAGAUAUUCGGUGGAACACCAGUGGCGAAGGCGACUAACUGGACUGAUACUGACGCUGAGGUGCGAAAGUGUGGGGAGCAAACAGGAUUAGAUA
rnacentral:rRNA from 1 species